ACCUGAAACCGUGUACGUACAAGCAGUGGGAGCACAGAGCAAUCUGUGUGACUGCGUACCUUUUGUAUAAUGGGUCAGCGACUUAUAUUCUGUAGCAAGGUUAACCGAAUAGGGGAGCCGAAGGGAAACCGAGUCUUAACUGGGCGUUAAGUUGCAGGGUAUAGACCCGAAACCCGGUGAUCUAGCCAUGGGCAGGUUGAAGGUUGGGUAACACUAACUGGAGGACCGAACCGACUAAUGUUGAAAAAUUAGCGGAUGACUUGUGGCUGGGGGUGAAAGGCCAAUCAAACCGGGAGAUAGCUGGUUCUCCCCGAAAGCUAUUUAGGUAGCGCCUCGUGAAUUCAUCUCCGGGGGUAGAGCACUGUUUCGGCAAGGGGGUCAUCCCGACUUACCAACCCGAUGCAAACUGCGAAUACCGGAGAAUGUUAUCACGGGAGACACACGGCGGGUGCUAACGUCCGUCGUGAAGAGGGAAACAACCCAGACCGCCAGCUAAGGUCCCAAAGUCAUGGUUAAGUGGGAAACGAUGUGGGAAGGCCCAGACAGCCAGGAUGUUGGCUUAGAAGCAGCCAUCAUUUAAAGAAAGCGUAAUAGCUCACUGGUCGAGUCGGCCUGCGCGGAAG
rnacentral:rRNA from 1 species